AUUUAUAUAGUUUAAAUUAAAACAUUACACUUUCACUGUAAAAAUACUACAACUAGUUAUAAAUU
rnacentral:tRNA from 1 species